rnacentral:rRNA from 1 species
GAUGAACGCUGGCGGCGUGCUUAAUACAUGCAAGUCGAACGGAGACUGUAGCAAUACUGUCUUAGUGGCGAACGGGUGAGUAACGCGUUGGUGACCUGCCCCGAAGAGGGGGAUAACAGUCCGAAAGGAUUGCUAAUACCCCAUGUGGUCGUUUGGAUUAGAUGCCUUACGACUAAACGGAUUUAUUCGCUUCGGGAGGGGGCCUGCGUCCCAUCAGCUAGUUGGUAGGGUAAUAGCCUACCAAGGCGAUGACGGGUAGGGGACCUGAGAGGGUGGCCCCCCACAAUGGAACUGAAACACGGUCCAUACACCUACGGGUGGCAGCAGUAGGGAAUAUUGGUAAUCUGGGAAACCGGGAACCAGCAACGCCGCGUGCGCGAUGAAGGCCUUCGGGUUGUAAAGCGCUUUUUAAAGGGAUGAGGAAGGACAGUACCUUUAGAAUAAGCCUCGGCUAACUACGUG